rnacentral:tRNA from 1 species
GGUUAUAGCUAAGUGGUUGAGCGCUUGCCUCACACGUGUGAGGCUCUGGGUUCAAUCCUCAGCACCA